rnacentral:lncRNA from 1 species
GCUGAUCAGAACACACACAAUACAUUUUUCAGUCUUUCUUUGGUGCUGGUCUUUGAGAGCAUUCAUCCUGCUAGAAGUUAGCUUCGAAUCAGGUCAUUCCUGGUUAUAAUUUGGAACUAUCAUGAUCUCACCCUCAUUUCCAUUCUCACGUGCCUCUGUUCUGCAGCCAGAAUCUAGUAGAUCUGCUACUAAGGAAGCAGAAUGUACAGUACGAAGAGACUUCAAUUAUUGGUGCCAUAAACUAUAAACCUCUUCAACAUCAAGUUCCAUCUCGGCUUUUAUCAUCCCUCUAAGCAAUUCACCAUGCAUUAAUGUAACGGUAAUUGCACUACAUAGGUGGCAUGUCCUCUUUAAUGGAA